rnacentral:rRNA from 1 species
GAUGAACGCUGGCGGCGUGCCUAAUACAUGCAAGUCGAGCGAACUGAUUAGAAGCUUGCUUCUAUGACGUUAGCGGCGGACGAGUGAGUAACACGUGGGCAACCUGCCUGUAAGACUGGGAUAACUUCGGGAAACCGAAGCUAAUACCGGAUAGGAUCUUCUCCUUCAUGGGAGAUGAUUGAAAGAUGGUUUCGGCUAUCACUUACAGAUGGGCCCGCGGUGCAUUAGCUAGUUGGUGAGGUAACGGCUCACCAAGGCAACGAUGCAUAGCCGACCUGAGAGGGUGAUCGGCCACACUGGGACUGAGACACGGCCCAGACUCCUACGGGAGGCAGCAGUAGGGAAUCUUCCGCAGUGGACAAAAGUCUGACGGAGCAACGCCGCGUGAGUGAUGAAGGCUUUCGGGUCGUAAAACUCUGUUGUUAGGGAAGAACAAGUACAAGAGUAACUGCUUGUACCUUGACGGUACCUAACCAGAAAGCCACGGCUAACUACGUGCCAGCCGCCGCAGUAAGAC